UUAAGAAUCUUGCGCAAUGGGGGCAACCCUGACGCAGCGACGCCGCGUGAGUGAUGAAGGCCUUCGGGUUGUAAAGUUCAGUAAGCAGGGAAGAAUAAGCAACGGGUAAUAUUCGUUGUGAUGACGGUACCUGCCUAAAGCCCCGGCUAACUACGUGCCAGCAGCCGCGGUAAUACGUAUGGGGCAAGCGUUGUUCGGAAUUAUUGGGCGUAAAGGGCGUCUAGGCGGGGGAUUAAGUUAGAUGUGAAAGCUAUGGGCUCAACCCAUAAAUUGCAUCUAAGACUGGUUCUCUUGAGUCCGGGAGAGGAGAGCGGAAUUCCAGGUGUAGCGGUGAAAUGCGUAGAUAUCUGGAAGAACACCAGUGGCGAAGGCGGCUCUCUGGCCUAUGACUGACGCUGAAGCGCGAAAGCGUGGGGAGCGAACA
rnacentral:rRNA from 1 species